AAAAAUGUUCAAAGGAAUGGACAAACUAUAUGGCGUAGUGGAUAGUCACAAACCUAUAACUUUAGAAAUAUUAGCUCGAUUAAUAAACUCGUUGCAAUUUGUCUGUUCUUCAGUAUAUGAAUGUAUGUUAUUUAGAUCCAUGUUUUCAUUAGCAUUUUUUGCAUUUUUGAGAAUCGGUGAAAUUACAAUUAAUAGAAAUACGCAACAUGUCAUGAACAAUGAUGAUGUCAAUGUUUCACAUCAUUCACAAUAUGCAUAUAUCACAAUUCCCUUUUCGAAAACAGACCAAAAUGGUUUAUCUACAACAUUAACAGUUGAACGAUUUUAUCAAGUAGAUAUUUGCCCGGUGAGAUUGUUAUUAAACUUUGUUUCAAUCAGACACCAAAACAAUGGACCACUUUUUUGUCAUUUUAACAAAACCGGUUUAACACGAUAUCAAUUUUCUAGUGUACUAUGGAAGACCAUGAAAUUUAUUGAUUGUAAUCCAAAUGAGUACAACACGCAUUCAUUUCGAAUAGGAGCAGCUACACAUUUUGCUAUGAAUGGUCAUACUGAUGAAGAAAUUAUGACUUUAGGUCGUUGGAAAUCUGCAUCCUUUAAACGUUACAUAAGAAUUGAGCUAACCAAAUAACUUAUAAUUUCAGCUUGUCUUAGUAAUGAAAUAUGGAUUAUUGGUUCUUCAAUAAUAUGCAGUGCUCGUGAUCACUCGGAGAACAGACCUUCAGACUAUGGAUAGCCCAGCUGCUAAUUCUGAAAUAUUGCUGAAUGGACCGCCCUUCAGUACACCAGCUUUGGAUCGCCCAGCUGUGAUACAAUGAUUAGUUCAAUCGUCAUCAACAUUUUAUUGAUUGACAAAUAUUUUGGUUGUGUACUGUUGUUGUAACAGUUGUUGUUGUUUUAUGAAUGAAUUUUGAU